rnacentral:rRNA from 1 species
CAAUAGCGUAUAUUAAAGUUGCUGCGGUAAAAAAGCUCGUAGUUGGAUUUCUACCGAAGAUAGCCGGUCGGGUCUUCGACCUUGUAUCUGGUUUUGUCUUUGGUAUCCUCAUAGGGAACGUUUCUGCGCUUUAUUGCGUGGUGCGGUAUCUAUGACUUUUACUUUGAGGAAAUUAGAGUGUUCACGGCAGGCAAACGCCUUGAAUAUAUUAGCAUGGAAUAAUAACAUAGGAUCUUCGUCCUAUUUUGUUGGUUUCUAGGGCUAAGAUAAUGAUUAAUAGGGAUAAUUGGGGGCAUCUGUAUCAACGCGUCAGAGGUGGAAUUCUUGGAUUGCGUUGCGACAAACUACUGCGAAAGCAUUUGCCAAGGAUGUUUUCAUUGA